GAAAUGCGAUAAGUAAUGUGAAUUGCAGAAUUCAGUGAAUCAUCGAAUCUUUGAACGCACAUUGCGCCCGCCAGUAUUCUGGCGGGCAUGCCUGUCCGAGCGUCAUUUCAACCAUCAAGCCCCCUGGCUUGUGUUGGGGACCUGCGGCUGCCCGCAGGCCCUGAAAACCAGUGGCGGGCUCGCUGUCACACCGAGCGUAGUAGCAAUCACCUCGCUCAGGGCGUGCUGCGGGUUCCGGCCGUUAAACAGCCUUACAAAACCCAAGGUUGACCUCGGAUCAGGUAGGAAGACCCGCUGAACUUAAGC
rnacentral:misc_RNA from 1 species